UAGUCCACGCCGUAAACGAUGUCAACUAGCCGUCGGACUCAUUAUAAGGGUUUGGUGGCGCAGCUAACGCGAUAAGUUGACCGCCUGGGGAGUACGCCGGCAACGGUAAAACUCAAAGGAAUUGACGGGGCCCGCACAAGCGGUGGAGUAUGUGGUUUAAUUCGAUGCAACGCGAAGAACCUUACCAGGACUUGACAUCCCUCGAACUUUCUAGAAAUAGAUUGGUGCCUUCGGGAGCGAGGAGACAGGUGGUGCAUGGCUGUCGUCAGCUCGUGUCGUGAGAUGUUGGGUUAAGUCCCGCAACGAGCGCAACCCACGUCCUUAGUUGCCAUCAUUAAGUUGGGCACUCUGGGGAGACUGCCGGGGACAACUCGGAGGAAGGUGUGGACGACGUCAAGUCAUCAUGCCCCUUAGUUCUGGGGCUACACACGUACUACAAUGCAACGGACAAAGGGGCAGCCAACUAGCGAUAGUGAGCUAAUCCCAUAAA
rnacentral:rRNA from 1 species